UCCGGUUGAUCCUGCCAGAGGCCGCUGCUAUCCGGCUGGGACUAAGCCAUGCUAGUCUAGGGGCUUGUACUCCUUCGGGGGUGCGAGCACCGGCGGACGGCUCAGUAACACGUGGACAACCUGCCCUCGGGUGGGGGAUAACCCCGGGAAACUGGGGCUAAUCCCCCAUAGGUGAUGGGUGCUGGAAUGCCCCAUCUCCGAAAGCGCUUAGCGCCCGAGGAUGGGUCUGCGGCGGAUUAGGUAGUUGGUGGGGUAACGGCCCACCAAGCCUAAGAUCCGUACGGGCUGUGGGAGCAGGAGCCCGGAGAUGGACCCUGAGACAAGGGUCCAGGCCCUACGGGGCGCAGCAGGCGCGAAACCUCCGCAAUGCGGGAAACCGCGACGGGGUUAGCCGGAGUGCCCGUGCAUUGCACGGGCUGUCGGGGUGCCUAAACAGCACCCCAUAGCAAGGGCCGGGCAAGGCCGGUGGCAGCCGCCGCGGUAAGACCGGCGGCCCGAGUGGCGGCCACUCUUAUUGGGCCUAAAGCGUCCGUAGCCGGCCCAGUAAGUCCCCCGGGAAAUCUGGUCGCUUAACGAUCAGACUUCCGGGGGAUACUGCUGGGCUAGGGACCGGGAGAGGCCGAGGGUAUUCCCGGGGU
rnacentral:rRNA from 1 species